UACGUAGGGGGGCCAGCGUUGUCCGGAAUCAUUGGGCGUAAAGCGCACGUAGGCGGCCCAGCAAGCGGGGAGUGAAAGCCCUCGGCUUAACCGAGGAAGUGCUUUCCGAACUACUGGGCUUGAAUACUGGAGAGGGUCGCGGAAUUCCCGGUGUAGAGGUGAAAUUCGUAGAUAUCGGGAGGAACACCAGUGGCGAAGGCGGCGACCUGGACAGAUAUUGACGCUGAGGUGCGAAAGCGUGGGGAGCAAACAGG
rnacentral:rRNA from 1 species